UACGUAGGGGGCAAGCGUUGUCCGGAUUUACUGGGCGUAAAGAGCGUGUAGGCGGCCAAGCAGGUCCGUUGUGAAAACUGGAGGCUUAACCUCCAGACGUCGACGGAAACCGCGCGGCUAGAGUCCGGAAGAGGAGAGUGGAAUUCCUGGUGUAGCAGUGAAAUGCGCAGAUAUCAGGAAGAACACCCGUGGCUAAGGCGGUUCUCUAGUACGGUACUGACGCUGAGACGCGAAAGCGUGGGGAGCGAACAGG
rnacentral:rRNA from 1 species